ensembl:lncRNA
UGGAAGCUGGCACAGGAGCUCUUCUACACUCCCUUCAAGCAGCUCAGGAGGUGCCGUGUAUUCGCUGAAGUCCUCAGCGAGCAAGAAGACCUUAGGCUUUGGACAAGCCAAUGACCACAAUGUCCUCCACCACUGGUCCUUGCUCCAAAACCUUGCAAAUUGCAAAAAAAGGUAAAAAAAAUAAAUAAAUAAAUGAUUUAGUGAUAAUUUAUCUCUAAUGAUUUUGCUUUAUUUUUUUUAUUAGAAUAGUUAUGUUUACACACAAUUUAUGAAGAGCAGUGCUAUAUUGUGAGGCACGAUGCAGCCUUGGGUGUGUUAUUGAUUUCAUGAAAUAGUUACCACACGAUAAUUUAGGAGUAACAGAAUGUUUAAAUGCAACAAAACAAACAAUCAAACACAACUGAAAAAAUCUUGCCAAAGUCUUCCGUAUUUUUUUAAACGUACAGACAGGCGUGUUUGAUUAUGCUUCAGUUGCCCUGCUCUAAUGUGUAUGUUACAUACCUCCACAGUUGUGUGCAUGGUUGAAUUUAACUUGGUGGCCUUGGCGCUUGCUCGAAGGUGACAUAUGUUCACUUUAUCAUUAAUUUUGAAUUUGGACAAGGCCUGGUCCCGCCAUAAGGACACCUCAAGGAUUCUGGAGCCGCUUUUGAUCCCCACGUCCAAGAUGGGGACUUCUCUGUCCCUCACAGUCGUCAUCCUUGGAACCUGCAUCUAUAAAGUUAUGUUCCUUCCUGAGUUAAGUGGCCCCCUCUUGAGAAGAGGUCCUGCUCAUCCCCAGUCACUGAGACAGAUGGUGGAACCAGGGCGUCUUUGGCCAUCAAAGCUCAGUGUGAGGGGAGCGGUUUUGUAGGUCGUUGUGUUCGGACCCAUGAACAGACGUUCCUGUCCAUAUCUUGAGGACACGGUGUAGUUUUUUAUAUAGUAUGUCACGCCCUCUUCAAAGGCUGCCCUGUCUGAAGAGGACUGCGUGACAUACACCUGACCACCAGUGGACAGUGCACUAAGGUAAGUGAUUACUUGAGUGCCCGGCCUAAUUUCCCCAUUUACUUGCAUAAAAUUGAGGGUUUUUGUGUUUUUGUGGUUAAGCACACACUUGACCCUGAUGGGACUGGGGCGGCUAUACGGAGAGGAUGCCAUUCUGAUGAGGAAAACAUGAAAAAGGUUAGAUCUUUUUUUUUUUAAACUGAAAAAGAUUAGUAUUAUAGUGAAUAAGAAAAAUAAAUAUAUGUAUGAUUAAAGGGAGAGUUAACCC